AGGACGAACGCUGGCGGCGUGCUUAACACAUGCAAGUCGAACGGUGAAGCCUUUCGGGGUGGAUCAGUGGCGAACGGGUGAGUAACACGUGGGCAAUCUGCCCUGCAUUCUGGGACAAGCCUUGGAAACGAGGUCUAAUACCGGAUACGACGCAUCCCCGCAUGGGGUGUGCGUGGAAAGCUCCGGCGAUGCAGGAUGAGCCCGCGGCCUAUCAGCUUGUUGGUGGGGUGAUGGCCUACCAAGGCGACGACGGGUA
rnacentral:rRNA from 1 species